AAAUCCGGGAUAUAUAUACAUUUACAAGGGGUGUUCUAGCUUCAGGAUCAAAUAUGUUUUUUUUUCUUUUUGUUUUGCUUUGGAAUUAGAUUCCAAUUGAACCAAUUCCACCAAAGUUGUGUAACUAUUAAUAUACACAUGUAAUACCUAUUUAAAUUUAAUGUGAUUAUAUUUUCAGUGCAUGGAGAGACCGAGAGUGGGGGAAAUAUGGAGAGGGCGCGUUCUCUUUGUGUAAUUGUUUCGACAUGCUGGAGGCGUCUUGUUAUCAUCGUCGUUUCAUUUGUUGACGACACGACUUAACUACAACCUUAUAUAGCGUACACGUCCGGCCGAUCGCCCAGUGUUAAUGAAAGCGACUACAAAGACAACAAGGGCGACACAAAGAGCAGCGACAAUAACCGGUAACGGGCGCCGGAGCGAGCCGAUAAGACUUCCAGUGAUAAGGGUUCUGCGGGUCUUGAAGCAAAGAUCUCCCAGAAAUCCGCCUAAGCGCCAAUUGGCCAAGUAAAUAAUUGCUCUAUAUAUAGACCCAACCGAUAGAGAUUUUUAACAAAUGCCAUUCGAAAUGAUCUUCCCGAUCAAUUACCACCUUUCAUAUACAUAUGGAAAUGAGAAAACUGAAUCACGAUUCCUGGGUACAAUGAUACAGGUGUCAUUUAUUACGGCGACAAAACUUUCUGACAGAACCGAAAAGUAAUGUGUUCGGAACAUUUGUAAUGUUCUAAACAUUUAAUUAGGUGUUAGCUGUAUUAAACUGAAGGCUUACACUUCAAUGACAAACUUUUAAAGCAAAUAUAGUUUGCUGAAUUUUCUUGAAAUCAUAUGCACCUGUUCAAUACAAAUAAAAAUGUACUCGGAAAUAUGGUGGGUAUUUAAUACCAACGAA